rnacentral:lncRNA from 1 species
GAGCAGGCAAUACAUUACACAGUACACACACACACACUAUAAACAAUUACAUAACACACACCCUGCACCUAUAAUGGGUACAGGUUGACUAAAACAUAAGAUAAAUAAAGCAGCCUACAUAAAUAGUCUGUCUGAAGGUAGACUAGGGGCUUUAAAGCCAGAUACAUGAAAGAGUCAUAGUCACAGGGGAGGAGGCUGGCAAGUAGGC